CAGUCGCCGCGGUAAUACGAAGGGGGCUAGCGUUGCUCGGAAUUACUGGGCGUAAAGGGUGCGUAGGCGGCUUGACAAGUCUUGUGUGAAAUCUAUGGGCUCAACCCAUAGUCUGCACGGGAAACUACCGGGCUUGAGUAUUGGAGAGGUGAGUGGAAUUUCCGGUGUAGCGGUGAAAUGCGUAGAUAUCGGAAGGAACACCUGUGGCGAAAGCGGCUCACUGGACAAUAACUGACGCUGAUGCACGAAAGCUAGGGGAGCAAACAGGAUUAGAUACCCCGGUAGUCCCUGUCUCUUAUAC
rnacentral:rRNA from 1 species